UGUGUACUCCCUCCGUUCCAAAAUACUUGACUUCCAUUUGUCCAAAAAUGGAUGUACCUAUAUACUAAAACAUGUCUAGAUACAUCUAUAUUUUGACAAAUAGAAGGCAUGUAUUAUGGAAUGGAGGGAGUAGAAU
rnacentral:pre_miRNA from 1 species